rnacentral:rRNA from 1 species
AACGAACGCUGGCGGCGUGCCUAAUACAUGCAAGUCGAACGGGGAAAGCUUUCGGGUGAGUACUAGUGGCGCACGGGUGAGUAACGCGUGGAUAAUCUGCCUUAGAGUGGGGGAUAACUAGUCGAAAGAUUAGCUAAUACCGCAUAAGACCACAAGAACUGCGGUUCAAGAGGUCAAAGGUUUUUGCCUAUAAGAUGAGUCCGCGUAAGAUUAGCUAGUUGGUGAGGUAACGGCUCACCAAGGCAACGAUCUUUAACUGGUCUGAGAGGAUGAUCAGUCACACUGGAACUGAGACACGGUCCAGACUCCUACGGGAGGCAGCAGUAGGGAAUAUUGCACAAUGGAGGAAACUCUGAUGCAGCGACGCCGCGUGAGUGAUGAAGGCCUUCGGGUCGUAAAGCUCUGUCGCAGGGGAAUAACACAAUGAAUGUACCCUGUAAGAAAGGAUCGGCUAACUUCGUGCCAGCAGCCGCGGUAAGAC